UCUUCUGCCCCCUGUUGGCCACUUCAUUUUCCUGCUUUGCCAGUUUUUAAUAGAAUCUCAGUGGUCUUAUGAAGACAUUGCUUUUCCAAAAGGAAAAAUAUUUGGUUCCUUGACUUAAAGGACUUGCUCCUUUUCAGGAUGCCAGACCAACGGUGAAUUGGUGGGAAAACUAGAGUUGGUGUAAAAGUGUAUAAAUUUCAUACCUGUUGUGCAGUAAACCCAGGAGGAAACAGACCAUCAGGAAUCAGCUGUUCCUCUUU
rnacentral:lncRNA from 1 species